CCUCGGAAAGCAAAUCGUCGUCCAGAUCUGCAUCGCCGAGCCGUCUAGGUCCUCGCCGCCGCAUGUGCUUCACCCUUGCAGUUCGCCAUAACCCAGAUCCGUCGCUGCAAUCGUCGAUCGGUUCGUGAAGCAAGCCGUACGCGUCACCUUGCAGCAGUCGUCCAGAUCUGCGUCGUCGUGCCCAUUCCUUUCCUCUCCGUUCGUGAAGACCUGCUGCGCAAUCUCUGCCUCCGUCGAAGCCAAGCCCAGCCGCCGCCCAUUCCUUUCUCCUCCGUUUUCUGCACUGCCGCGCGACUCUCCGACCGCGUCUGUCUUCACCUUCGUGAAGCCGUCGACGCAUACAUCUCGUGAAGUCAUACACGGAUCCAAGCCGAUCUCUUCCUAAAUUACGUGUCCCUCUGCUCGUUGUAAGACGGAGUUACGAUUUGAAGCCGAUUUUCUUUUCCAGUUGAGUCGCAUUCAGUGUUGCUCUAUUUACAGCCGCUUGAUUCGUUCUUGAUUGUCAUUUUUGCCUCGCCGUGAACCAUUGGGCUCAUAUUUGGGUAAGAACAAGUUAUGGUUUUUGUUGGUUUCUUGGUUUUUGUUGAAUGCUGCCAUUGGAUUUAAUUGUUGGCGAAAUGCUUAAUUCUUGAAGGUACAUCUUGAUUCAGUGAGCGAAUCUUUGAUUUUCCAAAAGGUUGAAGUGGACUUGAUUUUCCACUUCUUGGAUAAGUUGUGGAAUUUACAUAUUGGGUAAUUUGAAUGGUUGAAACUAUUUAGAAAGAUGUUGAUUUUAUGAUUGAUUAUGUUUAGGAUUUGAUUCAUUGGAUUUAGUAGAUUGAACAACUUGCAUAAAAGUGAGGUAAGGGAUUUUAUUUUCUACUGGACUCACCUAUGCUUUUAAAUUGUAAUGUUAGUCACCUCUGAUUGAGUAAAUGUGUUGAGACAAUAUAUAUAUAUACGUAUGGAUGUAGGUUCGGUGUUGAAUGUAUACUGUGGAUGACUGAAAAUAUAUAUAUACACAUGGAUUGAAGUAGACUUGAUGUUGAAUGCAUAUUGUGAUUGUCUUGGAAUAUAUAUAUAUGUGUGUGGAUGUAGACAGGACGACAAUUGUAGAUUGUGUUUGUAUGAGAUGCGGAUGUGAACUUGUGAUUGUCGUUUAGACUGGGUGUACGUUAUACUAAAGUAUGACUGUGUGCUGGUGAACUGAGAGGCGUUAUGACUAUAUAGUUUGAUUGACUGACGUAUUAGUAUGUUACUGACAGACAUUGGGCUAAAGUGAGAUAAGUUGAGUGAAAGAACUUUAUAUUUUGAAGUAGCUGAAAGAUGGUACGAAUGGAUUGAGGGGAAAAAUUGUUAGCUUUUAUUGGGAUGUGUGCCUUGUAGGUGUCCCACGGGAUCACCAAUUAUUCUGCACCUUCAGGAGCAUUAGACUGAUAUGUGUUUCUGCAGAACACUACACUGAAAUGUACGUCCCUCAGGGCGUUAGACUGAAAUGUGCAUCCUACGGGAUCACAAGACUGCGACCGUACAGGGUGUCCCAAUAGAAUGUGGGAUCACAAGACUGCGACCGUACAAGGUGUCCCAAUAGAAUGUUAACAAUUUAUUUUUCCCCUGACGGGACCAGUAGAGGGUCUCUUAUUGGGUAUUUUUAUACUCACCCUUCUUAUGUUUAAUUUUCAGGCAAAAGUAAUAAAGGCGGCAAACCGGCGAGGGGCAGGAAGGAAGUGUGAUUGCCAUAGGAAAUGUGUUAUUUUGCUUCCGCUUAUUGUUUUUUUUAGGUUUAAGACGUUGUAUUGAAACUUAGCUUACAAACUUUUAUUUGUAAAUAGUACUUUUUUUAAGUUUUUGGAAUAUUUGAAAAUCAGGCCUGACUUAAAGUUGUUUUUCAAUUGGCUUACAUUUCAUUUUGUAUCAACCAAAGUUUUUGUCAAAAAUUAACGACCUCGACUUACCUAGAAAAGUUGGGUCGUUACAGUUGGUCUUUGUUUUUGUCACUUUCUCAAAUAAUAAAGUAUGUGUUCUAUGGACUUAAUUAUUAUAACUUAUUUUGCCACUUUCGCAAGUGUCCCUUAAUUGUAAUACAUGUAUAUGUGACAUAAUCUAAUCAAACUAACUCAUAAAUGGACUUAAUCGAUCUCAUGGACCACAAAUUCUUCAAUUACUUGCAAAUUUGGUGAGUUCCUUCAAACGGUGGGCGAAGAGCUUAAUUUUGAGAGAGAGGAAAAGUCGUGAAGAGUAUUUGCGAGAGAGGGGGAACGUCGCCAGAGAGCAUUUGCGAGAGAGCUAAAGACAGUGACGAUGUGGGAUGAAGUAAGGUUUUUUUCGGUCAUUGUUCACAAGUGGGAUGAAAGCUUCGAAUUAUUUGUUUUAAAUCAAAAAGCGUAUGAUUGAAGGAAAACAUUGAUUUUUUAUUAGGGUAAUUUUUAAUGACACAUAAUUUAUGCCAUUAUUUACGAUGCGAAAAUUUUGUCAAGAAAACUCAAUUUGUGUCACAAAAAAUUUUGUAUUUUUAUUUUUAACGACACAUUUUAUUCCCUCAUAUCCCUUUUUCUUGAUUUCAAGUGUCAUUAAAACUUAUAUUUCUAAAUAAAUUUAUUCGACGAAAGUGGCUAGAUUGGUGGGUUUGACGGCGAAGGCUUGUUGUGGGAGCAAUGACAACAGUGGUUGGAGUGUGGAAUCGACGACGGCAAGUGGCAAAAAAUUGGAGGGCAAGGGUUCUUCAUAACCACUUGGUAGCCCACUUCGAACUUUUUUGAAAUUUGAGGUUUUUUCAUUUGAAAAUGUUUUUAAUGAGAAAAAAAUUGUUAAUUAAUUACGCAAAAAUUGGUUUGAAAUAAAUUAAAUUGUGUCAAUAUGAUUGUUUUAAGAAAUAAUCCAUAUUUUUAUUUUCAACAACACAAUGUACCUCAUCUCACCUCUUUUUUCUUUUAUUUUCAACGACACAAUGUCUUGAUUAAAAUCCAUUUUUCUAGUAGUGACUGAAAAAAAAACUGGACAAAAUCAUAAUAUCUUUGAUAAUUAAAUCACCAGUUGGUCUCUUACUGGGUAUUUUUAUACUCACCCUUCUUAUGUUUAAUUUUCAGGCAAAUGUAAUAAAGGCGGCAAACCGGCGAGGGGCAGGAAGGAAGCGUGAUUGCCAUAGGAAAUGUGUUAUUUUGCUUCCGCUUAUUGUUUUUUUUUUAGGUUUAAGACGUUGUAUUGAAAUUUAGCUUACAAACUUUUAUUUGUAAAUAGUACUUUUUUUAAGUUUUUGGAAUAUUUGAAAAUCAGGCUUGACUUAAAGUUGUUUUUCAAUUGGCUUACAUUUCAUUUUGUAUCAACCAAAGUCUUUUGUCAAAAAUUAACGACCUCGACUUACCUAGAAAAGUUGGGUCGUUACAGUUGGUAUCAGAGCCUAAGUUUUAGGUUCUGUAGACUUACUUACGAUGUAAGUCUAUGUUUUAUGUCCCUUUGCCUAACGCGACCCUUCGUCUCUCGUCAGGUAUGCUUUAUGCUUAUAUGUAUGGUUUAUUUGCAUGACUUUGCCUAAAUUAAACUAGAUUGCAUGACGAUAAAGACUUGCUUAUGCUUAUGAUUAAGACUUUUUAAAGAGUGUUGUUGGUGGAUAAUAGGAAUUAUGCCGCCAAAGAGAGGUGUACGUAGAGGAGGUCGUAGAGGCCGGGGUAGAGGAGCAGGUCGUAAUCAACCUACUGAGGGUCAAGCUGAAUAGCGAAUUCCUACUGCACCCGUGACUCAUGUUGAGUUUGCUGCACUGUCUGCUCACAUGGAGCAGAGGUUCACGGAGCUUAUGACGGCUAUAGCUCAGAACCAGCAGGCACCUGCAGUUCCACUUGCACCUGUGGUUCCCCCUGUAGCAGCAGCUCCACCUGCACCAGCAGCCCCUCCUGCGCAAGGAUUGGCUGCACAACAGCCGUAGACAUUACCGAACCAACUUUCUGCUGAGGCGAAACAUUUGAGGGACUUUAGGAAAUAUGACCCUCAGACGUUUGAUGGGUCACUAGAGGAUCCUACUAAAGCUGAGUUGGGGUUGUCCUCUGUGGAAAUCAUAUUUAAUUACAUGAGAUGUCCAGAGAAGCAUAGAGUUCAGUGUGCUGCUUUUCUUCUGAGGGACAGAGGUAUUAUCUGGUGGAGAACUACGAUGCGUAUGCUAGGUGGAGAUGUGAGACAGAUUACCUGGGAUCAGUUUAAAGACUGCUUCUAUACCAAGUUUUUCUCGGCUAACCUUAGAGACGCCAAAAGCCAGGAAUUCUUGGAAUUGAAGCAAGGACAUAUGACAGUCGAGGAGUACGACCAGGAGUUUGAUAUGCUGUCGCGUUUUGCCCCUGAACUUGUUGGUAAUGAGCAGGCUAAAGCUGAUAGGUUCGUCAAAGGAUUGAGAGAUGAGAUUAGAGGCUUUGUGCGAGCACUAAAGCCCACUACCCAGGCUGAAGCGCUGCGCCUGGCAAUGGAUAUGAGCAUUGGGAAGGAUGAAAUUCGGGCAAGGAGUUUUGAUAAGGGAUCGUCGUCUGGUCAAAAGAGGAAAGCAGAGCAGAGAACUGUGGGAAUUCCUUAGAGGAACUUGAGAUCAGGCAAUCCUUUUUGCAGUUUCCAGCAGAGUUCUGGUGGGGCAGGAGACACUACUCGAGAGAAGCCACUAUGCAAUACGUGUGGGAAACACCACCUGGGUCGUUGUUUGAUGGGAACGAGAGUCUGUUAUAAGUGCAAGCAAGAGGGACACAUGGCUGAUCGAUGUCCCUUAAGAUCUACUGGGGCUGGACAGAGCAGUCAGGGAGCGAAACCUCCACAGCGGGGUACAAUCUUUGCCACUAAUAGAUCAUAAGCACAGAAGGCCUGCACAGUGAUGACAGGUACAUUACCAGUGUUAGGGCAUUUUGCCUUAACCUUGUUUGACUCGGGGUCUUCUCAUUCAUUUAUUUCAUCGCUUUUUGUGACGCAUGCAUGCUUAGAGAUGGAACCCUUAGAUUAUGUUUUGUCAGUGUCUACACCGUCUGGAGAAAUUAUGUUGUCUAAGGAAAAGACUAAAGCAUGUGAAAUUGAGAUAGCUGGUCGUGUGCUGGACGUAACCUUGUUGGUAUUAGAUAUGCGUGACUUUGAUGUAAUUUUAGGUAUGGAUUGGCUAGCUACUAAUCAUGCUAGUAUUGAUUGCUCUCGUAAAGAGGUUGUGUUCAGUCCCCCUACCGAAUCUAGCUUUAAAUUCAAGGGGGUAGGAACAGUAGUACUGCCUAAAGUAAUCUCAGCUAUGAAAGCUAGUAAACUGCUCAACCAGGGUACCUGGAGUAUUUUGGCAAGUGUGGUGGAUACUAGGGAAGAUGAGACUUCCUUAACUUCAGAACCUGUGGUAAGAGAAUACCCAGAUGUGUUUCCAGAAGAUCUUCCAGGACUACCGCCACAUAGAGAGAUUGAUUUUGCCAUUGAGUUGGAGCCAGACACUACUCCCAUUUCUAGAGCCCCUUAUAGGAUGGCUCCUGUCGAGUUGAAAUAACUGAAGGUACAGUUACAGGAGUUGCUUGACAAAGGCUUUAUUCGACCUAGUGUGUCGCCUUGGGGUGCACCAGUAAUUGUUUGUGAAGAAGAAGGAUGGGUCGAUGCGUCUUUGCAUUGACUAUAGAGAGUUGAAUAAAGUAACAAUCAAGAACAGAUAUCCUUUACCUAGAAUCGAUGAUUUGUUCGAUCAGUUACAGGGAGCCACGGUGUUCUCUAAGAUUGACUUACGGUCAGGUUAUCACCAGUUGAGGAUUAGAGACCGUGAUAUUCCUAAGACUGCUUUUCGUUCGAGGUACGGACAUUAUGAAUUCAUAGUAAUGUCUUUUGGUUUGACUAAUGCACCUGCAGUAUUUAUGGAUUUGAUGAACAGGGUGUUUAAGGAUUUCUUAGACACUUUUGUGAUAGUCUUCAUUGAUGAUAUUUUGGUUUAUUCAAAGACUGAGGCCGAACAUGAGGAACACUUACAUAAAGUGUUAGAGACUCUUCGAGUCAAUAAACUUUAUGCUAAAUUCUCUAAGUGCGAAUUUUGGUUGAAGCAGGUGGCUUUUCUUGGUCAUGUGGUUUCCAGUGAGGGAGUUUCUGUAGACCCUGCAAAGAUAGAAGCGGUUACCAGUUGGUCUCGACCCUCUACAGUUAGUGAGGUUCGUAGUUUUCUGGGUUUAGCAGGGUACUACCGGAGGUUUGUGGAGGAUUUUUCACGUUUGGCUACUCCCUUGACUCAGUUGACAAGGAAGGGAACUCCGUUUGUUUGGAGUCCAGCUUGCGAGGAUAGUUUUCAGAACCUUAAGCAAAGGUUAGUUACUGCACCGGUCCUUACAGUACCAGAUGGAUCCGGAAGUUUUGUGAUUUACAGUGAUGCUUCCAAGAAAGGACUGGGUUGUGUUUUGAUGCAGAAAGGUAAGGUGGUUGCUUAUGCCUCUCGUCAGUUGAAGAGUCACGAGCAGAACUACCCCACACAUGAUUUGGAGUUGGCAGCAGUGGUUUUUGCAUUGAAGAUAUGGAGACAUUAUUUGUACGGUGAAAAGAUACAAAUCUUUACUGACCAUAAGAGACCUGAAGUACUUCUUCACUCAGAAGGAGUUGAAUAUGAGACAGCGAAGGUGGCUCGAGUUGGUAAAGGAUUAUGACUGUGAGAUAUUGUACCAUCCUGGUAAGGCGAAUGUGGUGGCUGAUGCUCUUAGUAGAAAAGUAUCACAUUCGGCAGCACUCAUUACUAAACAGGUACCAUUACAUCGAGACUUGGAGAGAGCUGAGAUUGUAGUAUCUGUGGGGAGAGUCACCUCACAGUUAGCUCAAUUAACGGUGGCAACUGACUCUGAGGCAGAAAGAUUGUUGAUGCUCAGAGUAAUGAUCCUUAUUUGAUGGAAGAGACGUCGCCUUGUUGGAACAGAGCAGACUGAUGAGUUCUCCAUAUCCUCUGAUGGUGGAUUGAUGUUUGAGAGACGUUUGUGUGUGCCAGCGAACAGUGCAGCUAAGAUUGACUUACUAGAUGAAGCCCAUAAUUCUUCAUUUUCCAUGCAUCCUGGUAGUACGAAAAUGUAUCAGGAUCUAAAACGAUUUUAUUGGUGGCGGAAUAUGAAAAGGGAAGUGGCGGAAUUCGUUAGUAAGUGUCUAGUAUGUCAGCAGGUUAAGGCACCUAGACAGAAACCAGCAGGUUUGUUACAACCUUUAAGUGUGCCAGAGUGGAAGUGGGAGAAUGUGUCGAUGGAUUUUAUUUCAGGGCUGCCUAAGACCCUGAAGGGUUUCACAGUGAUUUUUGGUUGUGUAGACAGGCUUACGAAAUCGGCACAUUUUGUACCAGGGAAAUCCACUUAUACUACUAGUAAGUGGGCACAGUUGUAUUUAACUGAGGUUGUGAGACUGCAUGGAGUGCCUGUAUCGAUUGUUUCUGACAGGGAUGCACGGUUUACUUCCAAGUUUUGGAAGGGACUUCAGACUGCUAUGGGUACGAGAUUAGAUUUCAGUACAGCCUUUCAUCCACAGACUGAUGGUCAAACUGAACGUUUGAACCAAGUUUUAGAGGAUAUGCUACGAGCUUGUGUUCUAAGAGUUUCCAGGUAGUUGGGACUCUCAUCUACAUUUGAUGGAGUUUGCUUAUAACAACAGUUUCCAGGCUACCAUCGGUAUGACACCAUUUGAGGCUUUGUAUGGUAAAUGUUGUAGAACCCCUAUUUGUUGGAGUGAGGUUGGUGAACAGAGGUUGAUGGGACCUAAAUUAGUUCGGUCUACUAAUGAGGCUAUUCAAAAGAUUAGAGCACGUAUGCAAACAGCGCAGAGUAGACAAAAGAGUUAUGCAGAUGUACGGCGAAAAGACCUUAAGUUUGAUGUGGGAGAAAAGGUAUUCUUGAAGGUAGCACCUAUGAAGGGUGUUAUGCGUUUUGAGAAGAAAGGGAAGUUAAGUCCUCGUUUUGUUGGACCAUUUGAGAUCUUAGAGAGGGUUGGUGUUGUGGCGUAUCGCUUGGCAUUACCACCAUCACUCUCUGCAGUCCAUAAUGUUUUCCAUGUUUCGAUGUUGUUGAGGAAGUAUGUGGCCGAUACAUCUCAUGUCGUGGACUAUGAACCCUUGGAGAUUGAUGAGCAUUUGAGCUAUGUAGAACAACCUGUGGAGAUUCUGGCUAGAGAGGUAAAGAUGCUUCGUAAUAGAAGCAUUCCAUUAGUAAAGGUUUUGUGGCGGAAUCAUCGAAUUGAAGAGGCGACAUGGGAGCGAGAAGAAGAGAUGAGGACUCGUUAUCCAGCGUUAUUUCAGGAUUAGAACUUUCGCCUUAAGGAGGAAAGAAUGUAACGCCCCAAACUCGAAGGUAUUUUAUUUUAAGAGAUUUUUUCGAUUUGUACCAGAUUUAUUGUUUUGAAGAAAAUAUGUUGAAGGGGGGAAAGAAGAUUUGAAAAUGUGAUAAUACAAUUAUAUAUAUAUUUAUUUAUAUAUUUAGUUUUAUUAUUUAGUUUAAAUAAAAGAAAAGAAAAAGAAAUUUUAUUAUAUAUAUAUUUAUUUAUAUUUUAGUUUUAUUUUUAUUAUUUAAAUAAAAGAAAAGAAAAAAGAAAAUUUUUCCUUCCUUCUUCCUCCCGUGCGUCCUCCAUCCCUUUCUCCUUCCCGUACCCUAGCAUCCGCACAUCCCUCUCUUCUCCGUUCACCCAGUCGGCCACACAAGCUGCCGGUCGUUUCUUCUUCUUCUUUCCGGUCGUCUUCCUUUUCUCCUUCGGAUCGAAACCGUCGCGCCGUCGCUUGUGCUUCACCCUUGCAAUUCGCCAUAACCCAGAUCCGUCGCUGCAACCGUCGGCCGGUUCGUUAAGUGUCGUACGCGUCACCUUGCAGCAGUCGUCCAGAUCUGCGUCGCCGUGCCCAUUGCUUUCCUCUCCAUUCGUGAAGCCCUGCUGCGCAAUCUCUGUCUCCGUCGAAGCCAAGCCCAGCCGCCGCCCGUUCCUUUCUCCUCCGUUUUCUGCACUGCCACGUGACUCUCCGACCGCGUCUGUCUUCACCUUCGUGAAGCCGUCGACGCAUACAUCUCGUGAAGUCAUACACGGAUCCCAGUCGAUCUCUUCCUAAAUUACGUGUCCCCUAUCAAGUCGACGUUCUUGUGCUCGUUGUAAGACGGAGUUACGAUUUGAAGCCGAUUUUCUUUU
rnacentral:lncRNA from 1 species